rnacentral:rRNA from 1 species
GAUGAACGCUGGCGGCGUGCCUAAUACAUGCAAGUCGAGCGAAUGGAUUAAGAGCUUGCUCUUAUGAAGUUAGCGGCGGACGGGUGAGUAACACGUGGGUAACCUGCCCAUAAGACUGGGAUAACUCCGGGAAACCGGGGCUAAUACCGGAUAACAUUUUGAACCGCAUGGUUCGAAAUUGAAAGGCGGCUUCGGCUGUCACUUAUGGAUGGACCCGCGUCGCAUUAGCUAGUUGGUGAGGUAACGGAUCACCAAGGCAACGAUGCGUAGCCGGCCUGAGAGGGUGAUCGGCCACACUGGGAACGAGAGGCGGCCCAGACUCCUACGGGAGGCAGCAGUAGGGAAUCUUCCGCAAUGGACGAAAGUCUGACGGAGCAACGCCGCGUGAGUGAUGAAGGCUUUCGGGUCGUAAAACUCUGUUGUUAGGGAAGAACAAGUGCUAGUUGAAUAAGCUGGCACCUUGACGGUACCUAACCAGAAAGCCACGGCUAACUACGUGCCAGCCGCCGCCGUAA